ensembl:lincRNA Mirt1 myocardial infarction associated transcript 1
GGCUUUGGACUGAGCGCUCUGGACCCAUUAAUGCAAGGUCUGACUCUUCCAGACUGAGAGACUGCUGAAGGAAGAAGCAGUGACCCACGGCUGAGUACAGUGGCCAGGGUUCCAGGGUACACAUCUGUCAAUUCACCCCUCUGGAGGCAUGGGCUGCUGGGAGGUGAAAGAGUUCAUACAGCCAACCAGGAAGCAGUCACUCUGACAAGCCAAGCGAAGAGAUGUUUGGCCACCUGCAUCUGACUUCUAGAUCGGCUUCUGUUCUUGGGACCAGCAAUGCUUGAAUGAAAAGCUCUGCUGAUUGCCUGCUGCAGAGAAGCCUGGACCCACAGGGCACCGGGCAUGAAGGAAAGCAAGCGGUUCCGUGUUGAAGGCAAGGGUCUCUGUCCUGCAGCAGGUAUGCAGAAAGUCGCCUUCGUGGUGGAAGGGUCUGAGUGGUAUAGACCCCAUAGCACAGCCUCCUUCGCCUCACACUCUCCGUGAUCUCCCCAGUCUCCUCUGAACAGCCAUAAAGCUAGUCAUUAAAAUGUGCCUCAAGGUCGGCAAUCAAUCUCAAGGGGGUUUUAGUUUAUUGUCUGGAGGAGGAAGCCUUCCACUGCCUCUCUUGUCACUGAAGAGGCAUCACAUAAAGGACCCUUUAAUCUCACCCAGACAUCUCAUGGGGCACCAUGGCUAGUAAGUCCCCUCCCUGGCAAACACACGGGCUCGUUAACAGGGACCUUUACCACCAGUGACACAAUGGAACUUUCUUUAUAAGGGUUGAAAGGGCACAGGAGUUGCAAAAUGUCUUAAGGGCCAUGAAUUGUAGACUCCUUCCUGCCCCUCUGCCUGGGGUCAAAUGUGGGGACACUCAUGCAUCGGUGCUAUGCCUCCUAUCCACUGUGCACCUUGCUCAUAGGUAUGUGGCCCUGUCAGAUUUCUCUGUCCAGGACCAUGUCUCUGUCUUGCCUGAUAUCCCCACUGGUGUGUCUCUCACAGUGCGGUGUAGUAUGAGGACACUCAGUGUGAAGAAUGUAAGCCACAGGGAGCCAGCUAAGGAACAUAGAAUCCUUGAGUUCACUCUGACUCAACACUGGGGUUUUGGGCCUUGUAGGAGACUUAGCAGUAUCCCUGGUCUCCACCAGUGUGAUACCAACAGCAGCCUGCCAACCUGCUGGACAACCAAAACUGUCCCCACACAUCGCUCUGGGACAAAUUACCUGGCUGUGCCAACAGUGUGCAUGGCAGAAGUCUGUGUACAGAGAGCAUCAGAGAGCAGACACUGAUGUUUGGGAUGCCCACGGGACCUUGUCUGGAGACGGAGGUGGGGAUGUGUGUGGUACCUUUCCCACACUCUCCACGGAAGCUCUUUGUCAUUCCUCUUUAGAAGGUGUCAGGAAAAGGGGGGCUGCUGUGGUCAGAACCCUUGCUAUUUUAUUAUUGGCUAUUACGAAGCACCGAAAGCCCCGAACUUGGCUGAAGUGCCCUCUUGAGACAAGUUAUGGGAUGUGGGAUGACUGUCUGUUUUCAGUGUCCAGCACGCAGGGAUUGGGGCAAGCCUAUCAGCCUAAGAUGGCGAAAACUAUGGUGCCAGCACCCAUUAUAUCAAUUUGUGAGAAAACUACGCAAUAAAUGGCAUAUCUUACUGUUCCUG